rnacentral:rRNA from 1 species
AGGAGAGUUUGAUCCUGGCUCAGGAUGAACGCUAGCUACAGGCUUAACACAUGCAAGUCGAGGGGCAGCAUGAUCGAAGCUUGCUUUGAUUGAUGGCGACCGGCGCACGGGUGAGUAACGCGUAUCCAACCUUCCCUAUAGUAGAGGAUAGCCCGGCGAAAGUCGGAUUAAUACUCUAUGUUUUCCAAUGCAGACAUCUAAGUUGGAACAAAGGUUCACCGCUAUAGGAUGGGGAUGCGUCUGAUUAGGUUGUUGGCGGGGUAACGGCCCACCAAGCCUACGAUCAGUAGGGGUUCUGAGAGGAAGGUCCCCCACAUUGGAACUGAGACACGGUCCAAACUCCUACGGGAGGCAGCAGUGAGGAAUAUUGGUCAAUGGGCGAGAGCCUGAACCAGCCAAGUAGCGUGCAGGAUGACGGCCCUAUGGGUUGUAAACUGCUUUUAUACGGGGAUAAAGUGAGGGACGUGUCCCUUUUUGUAGGUACCGUAUGAAUAAGGACCGGCUAAUUCCGUGCCAGCAGCCGCGGUAAUACGGAAGGUCCGGGCGUUAUCCGGAUUUAUUGGGUUUAAAGGGAGCGCAGGCUGAUUAUUAAGCGUGACGUGAAAUGUAGCCGCUCAACGGCUGAACUGCGUCGCGAACUGGUAGUCUUGAGUGAGUUCGAUGUUGGCGGAAUUCGUGGUGUAGCGGUGAAAUGCUUAGAUAUCACGAAGAACUCCGAUUGCGAAGGCAGCCAACAAGGCCUUUACUGACGCUAAAGCUCGAAGGUGCGGGUAUCGAACAGGAUUAGAUACCCUGGUAGUCCCCU